AUUUCACUAUUAUUGUAUUACUGUCUAUCUCUUUCUUUAGGUCUAGUAAUAUUUGUUUUGUGAAUUUGGGUGCUCUGAUAUUGGAUGCAAAUAUACAAAGGAUUGUUAUAUCCUCUUGCUGAAUUAACCCCUUUAUCAUUAUAUAAUGACCUUCUUUGCAUUUUUUACUGGUUUUUAUUUAAUGCCUGUUUUGUCUGAUAUAAGUAUAGCUACUCCUGUUUGCUUUUGGUUUCUAUUUGUGUAGAGUGUGUUUUUCCACUCCUUUACUUUCAAUCUAUAUGUAUCUUUAUGGGUAACUGAGUUUCUUGUAGGGAGCAUAUAGUUGGAUCAUAUUUUUAAAAUCCUUUCUGCCAACCUGUAUCUUUUAAGUGUAACAUUUAAUUUAUUUACAUCCAAGAUUAAUAUUGACAUGUGAGGCUUUGCUCCUGUCAUAUUGUUAACUGUUUUCAAGUUCUUUUAUAAAUGCUUUGUUGUUUUUUCUUUUUCUCUAUUUUUUUGUCUUUGUGGUUUGAUGAAAUUCUUUUUUGUUGCCAUUUCAUUCCUUUUCCUUCCUCCUUUAUGUGAUUGUUUUAUAAGAACUGUGAGUUUGAUCUUUCAAUGUAUUUUCAUGAUAGUAAAUAUCAACCUUUUGUUUCCAUGCUUAAGACCCCUUUGAGCAUUUUCAGUAGGGUUGGUGUAGUGGUAACAAAAUCCCUCAGAAUUUGCUUAUCUGAAAAAUACUUUAUUUCUUUAUUUCUUCUUUUUUUUUUUUUUGCCUGCUUUUUCUCCUGAGAUUUUAUUUCUCCUUCAUUUAUGAAGCAUA
rnacentral:lncRNA from 10 species